GACGAACGCUGGCGGCGUGCCUAAUACAUGCAAGUCGAGCGAAUUUGAUGGGAGCUUGCUCCCAGAAGAUUAGCGGCGGACAGGUGAGUAACACGUGGGCAACCUACCUGUAAGCCUGGGAUAACUUCGGGAAACCGGAGCUAAUACCGGAUAAUUUCUUUCUUCACAUGAAGAGAGGUUGAAAGACGGCUUUGCUGUCACUUACAGAUGGGCCCGCGGCGCAUUAGCUAGUUGGUGAGGUAACGGCUCACCAAGGCCACGAUGCGUAGCCGACCUGAGAGGGUGAUCGGCCACACUGGGACUGAGACACGGCCCAGACUCCUACGGGAGGCAGCAGUAGGGAAUCUUCCGCAAUGGACGAAAGUCUGACGGAGCAACGCCGCGUGAGUGAAGAAGGUCUUCGGAUCGUAAAACUCUGUUAUCAGGGAAGAACAAGUAUCGGAGUUACUGCCGGUACCUUGACGGUACCUGACCAGAAAGCCACGGCUAACUACGUGCCAGCAGCCGCGGUAAUACGUAGGUGGCAAGCGUUGUCCGGAAUUAUUGGGCGUAAAGCGCGCGCAGGCGGUUCUUUAAGUCUGAUGUGAAAUCUUGCGGCUCAACCGUGAGCGGUCAUUGGAAACUGGAGAACUUGAGUGCAGAAGAGAAGAGCGGAAUUCCACGUGUAGCGGUGAAAUGCGUAGAGAUGUGGAGAACACCGGUGGCGAAGGCGGCUCUUUGGUCUGUAACUGACGCUGAGGCGCGAAAGCGUGGGGAGCGAACAGGAUUAGAUACCCUGGUAGUCCACGCCGUAAACGAUGAGUGCUAAGUGUUAGAGGGUUUCCGCCCUUUAGUGCUGCAGCAAACGCAUUAAGCACUCCGCCUGGGGGAGUACGCCGCAAGGCUGAAACUCAAAGGAAUUGACGGGGGCCCGCACAAGCGGGUGGAGCAUGUGGUUUAAUUCGAAGCACGCGAAGAA
rnacentral:rRNA from 1 species